GCGCCCAUCGUCUAGCGGUUAGGCGCGCUAGGAAGGAGAAGGGAUAGGACGCCGCCCUUUCACGGCGGAAACAGGGGUUCGAUUCCCCUUGGGCGUACCA
rnacentral:tRNA from 1 species